UACGUAGGUGGCAAGCGUUGUCCGGAAUUAUUGGGCGUAAAGGGCUCGUAGGCGGUUUGUCGCGUCGGGAGUGAAAAUCCAGGGCUUAACUCUGGACUGGCUUCCGAUACGGGCAGACUAGAGGUAUGCAGGGGAGAACGGAAUUCCUGGUGUAGCGGUGAAAUGCGCAGAUAUCAGGAGGAACACCAAUAGCGAAGGCAGCUCGCUGGGACGUUACUGACACUGAGGCGCGAAAGCGUGGGGGAGCGAACAGG
rnacentral:rRNA from 1 species